GGGCCGUUAGCUCAGUUGGUAGAGCAUCUGACUUUUAAUUAGGUGGUCGAAGGUUCGAAUCCUUCACGGCCCACCA
rnacentral:tRNA from 1 species